AUUUAGGCAUGUCUGAAAUUUAAGUUGAUAUAAUCAGCUUCACAGUAUUUCUUUCUGUGUUAGAUUUAGCAUGUAUAAAAGUAUAUAAUUUCAUGUGACUGUCCAAGCUUUUGGGUGGAUAUUUCUAAUCAAGAACUAGCAAUUUGCAAAGAUUUAGGUAGCACUGUAUUGAUUGUCUUAUUUGCUGUCAUGUCAUAGUUUUUUUUUGUUUGUUUGUUUUG
rnacentral:lncRNA from 1 species